rnacentral:lncRNA from 10 species
UAACAAGUAUUGUUCAGGUCUAAUAAAUGACUUAUACUGUUUAGAGAAAGAGAACAAAUAGUGAAUUAGUAGAUUUCCUAGCUUGGAACUAGAUUAUAAAGCUUAAUUUCAAGAAUGCUUAUGAAGGUUCAGGCAGGAUGCAUAAAAACUACUACUGCCAUUCUUCGGAAAGCUCCGAAAUCACACUACCUAAAAGCAAAGAAUCAAACUCUCCUAGGAUUUUACAUUGAUGAUUUUUGAUGUUACGAAAGGAGAAGCAAUGAUGUCAAAGUUUUCAAAAGAAAAAAUAUUAUUCAGUCAAAAUUCGAGUCAGUUAGGGAUCCAGCUGGUUUGAAAAAAAUUAUGAUACAUUUUACAGAAGAAAGACACCUAAUCCCACCACUCAGAGAUCAAUCUUUAAAAUAAAGGCUAUAUUUCAGAAAAAUUAUGAUGAAAAAUGAAAGAGAGAGGACAUACAUGAAAUUCAAGAAGUUUUCUCUCAAAGUUAAAAAAAUGAGAAAAGAAAGAAAAUGAGAGGGAGAGAAAGGAAAAAAAGAAAGGAAUGAAGGGAGAGAGAGAGAGGGAGGGAGGCAGAUACAUUGUGUGUGUAUGUAUGUGUAUGCAAUCUCUGCAUUUUCUUAAUUGCUGUAAUUGAGUUUUUUCUGUUUAGAUUAUUAGUUGCCUUCUGCAUCUUUCCUGUGAAGGCCAUGCUCUCUCUUAGCUCUGACUCUCAGUCACCCAUUGGUGGCCUCAGCUAUCUUGACCCAGGUGGUUACUCUCUUAGGGAAUUCUAGGUCAAUCUCUCAAAUCGAAAGGAAAAGCCUUCUCCCCAACAAUGAAUGGUCUGAUCAUAUAGAAUCUAGCAGGCUACAAGUCCCAUUCCCUAGCCAAGGUAUUUACAAGAUCAAGCAUAUUGAUGGGGCUGACUUUAAACUUUCUCACAGCAGUCCACAGAGCUCUGCAGUUCACAUUUUUUUUCAGGAGCUACACUAUGGUCUCAAGAAGACUCUCCAAUACAAUGGGGUCUAUGCAGUUUGCUUCAUCCAUAACACAGAAACACCACAUCCAUUCUGGAUCAACUCCCAUACCAAUACUACCAGAAGAAUUAACUUAGACCUAGCCACUUACAUCUUUCAACAGCUAUUCGAAUCUGGAGAGGCAAGGUGAAUAGCCGGGGAUGAUGUGUAGUGUGAGAAGUCUGACUCUUGGCCAAAACCUAUGCAUGACUUUUCAGGCAUGACCAUAGGCAGUUAUAAAAUGUUAGUUGUUUUGCCCAUGGAGAAAGCUGGUCUGUCCACACCAGAGUUGGGUCACAGCCAGUGCAUCACAGUCUCCGAAGGGAGUUGCAGUCAAGGACCCAGGCCUCCUGCCCAUCCAUACUCUUACUCAUAUCUGCCUUCCUAAACCAGGGGUUUCUGUUUGGAGGCCUCUUCAUAGGGGAGGAGAAGUAGCUCAGCUGAGGACUUCUUCAGGCUCCUCUGCCAAGGCCACCUUGUGGAGUUGGGGCAUGGAGACUUGAAGUUGCUUUUGUCCACUCUAACUCAGUAUUUAGGACUGUUCAGCUCCUGCUCCUAUUCCUGCCUCAUCCAGGGGAGAAACAAAAACACCAAAUAAACCAAAAACCCACAGGAGCCUUCUGUUCCAGUUUCUCUUGGCAUUGAGACAGUCGCUGUGUUUGCUGAUUUUCCUGAUCCUCACCUGGCACUGUUCCAUGAUGAAAAAGGGAAUAUUGAAGAAAGGGAUGCUUUCUCUUGUGUAGCUUCUUGCUGAAUUUAUCUCAGUAAGUUAAUAAGGCUUGACUGCUACUUUCAUUUUGGCUUGUUUGUUGUAAUAGAUCUGGCAGCACCUGGUAGCUCAGCUCUCUCCAGGUCAGUUCUGCUCGCCACAUCACAGAUGUUACGGUGCCACCCAGACACCACUUCAGGACCCAGUUGUUCCUGCCAGCUUCUGAGAGUGUUGACUUUUAAGAGUUCUCAGUUGAGUAGCUUCCCAGGCAUUUCCUCCAACCUAAGGAAGUUGUCACAGCCCAUGUUUACACCCUGUUCAUGAAGUAGCAAUCAUUCGGUAACCCAAACAAGUGGGAAUAAAAAGGUCUGGCCCUCUGACCUCAUUAAAGAGCGUCUCUGAAGAGUCAACG